UGCUUGCAGGGGUACUCGAGUGGCGAACGGGUGAGUAACACGUGGGUGAUCUGCCUUGUACUUCGGGAUAAGCCUGGGAAACUGGGUCUAAUACCGGAUAGGACCAUGCUUUAGUGUGUGUGGUGGAAAGUUUUUUCGGUACAAGAUGAGCCCGCGGCCUAUCAGCUUGUUGGUGGGGUAAUGGCCUACCAAGGCGACGACGGGUAGCCGGCCUGAGAGGGUGUACGGCCACAUUGGGACUGAGACACGGCCCAGACUCCUACGGGAGGCAGCAGUGGGGAAUAUUGCACAAUGGGCGCAAGCCUGAUGCAGCGACGCCGCGUGAGGGAUGACGGCCUUCGGGUUGUAAACCUCUUUCGCUAGGGAAGAAGCCAUUUGUGGUGACGGUACCUGGAUAAGAAGCACCGGCUAACUACGUGCCAGCAGCCGCGGUAAUACGUAGGGUGCAAGCGUUGUCCGGAAUUACUGGGCGUAAAGAGCUCGUAGGUGGUUUGUCGCGUCGUCUGUGAAAUCCCGGGGCUUAACUCCGGGCGUGCAGGCGAUACGGGCAUAACUGGAGUGCUGUAGGGGAGACUGGAAUUCCUGGUGUAGCGGUGAAAUGCGCAGAUAUCAGGAGGAACACCGAUGGCGAAGGCAGGUCUCUGGGCAGUAACUGACGCUGAGGAGCGAAAGCAUGGGUAGCGAACAGGAUUAGAUACCCUGGUAGUCCAUGCCGUAAACGGUGGGCGCUAGGUGUGGGGAUCUUUCUACGAUUUCCGUGCCGUAGCUAACGCAUUAA
rnacentral:rRNA from 1 species